rnacentral:misc_RNA from 1 species
CCCACGCCUUUGCUAAUUACAAUCUGCCAAAAAUGGUGUAUUUCUUCUUCAGUCCUUCAGCUAAAACCCUCGACGAAUUCUCUCAAUGGAGGAGGAACCAUUAUAAUUCCUUUGUAUUCUUCCUUAGNNNNNNNNNNNGCGGAAGCGAGAAGAACAGAGGAAGUGGAGCAGUUAGGAUGCCAUCAAGAGCAAGAGAUGGUGAGAGAGAGUAUUGUGAGAUGAGAGGACACGAGAGCUUCUGCGCUGAGUUAGAU